UUGACAAGCCCCUUCAAGCCUUGCCCUCGAGCAAGCCAAUUUAAGCCUUGCCCCCGAGCAAGCCCCUUCAAGCCUUGUCCUCGAGCAAGCCAAUUUAAGCCUUGCCCCUGGGCAAGCCCCUUCAAGCCUUGCCCUCGAGCAAGCCAAUUUAAGCCUUGCCCUCGAGCAAAGCCAAUAUAAGCCUUACCCUCGAGCAAGCCCCUUCAAGCCUUGUCUUUGACAAGCCAAUUUAAAACUUACCCCAGGCAAGCACUCAAAAAGCCUUGCUCCUGGCAAGCACAUCAAAAAACCUCGCCUCAAGCAAGCACCAAAGCCUUGCCCUACGCAAGCACAAAAGGGCUUGAUCAUAUGCUCAAGUGUAAACCAUUAAAGUAUCGCCCGAGGACGUACGAAGGUCCCACAUUAUUUUGGACAGUCCUCGAGGAUGUCACAUUACAACUUUUUGAAGUUAGUGUGCUCGAGGAUUACAGUCCUCGAGGAUGACACGUUACAACUUUUUGAAGUUAGUGUGCUCGAGGAUUACAGUCCUCGAGGAUGUCACGUUACAACUUUUUGAAGUUAGUGUGCUCGAGGAUUACAGUCCUCGAGGGUGUCACGUUACAACUUUUUGAAGUUAGUGUGCUCGAGGAUUACAGUCCUCGAGGAUGUCACAUUACCAUUUUUUGAAGCUAGCGUGCUCGAGGAUUACAGCCCUCGAGAAUGUCACAAUUCAAAGUCUAGUUGUGCUCGAGGAUUACAGUCCUCGAGAAUGCCUUAAUCUUUAAGACUAGUAGUGUGCUCGAGGAUUACAGUCCUCGAGAAUGUCACUGAAUUUUUAAAAGUUUGGUUGCGCUCGGGACUACGGUCCUCGAGAAUGCCUUAAUCUUUAAGACUAAUUGUUCUCGAGGUUUACAGUCCUCAAGAAUGUCACAUCAUCAUAUUUUUAUUAUUGCUCGAGAAUGUACGUCUCACCUUUUAAUCCCUUAAAUACGCUCGAGUCAGAAUCCUCGAGUAAACACUUCAAUAUCGCGCGAGCAGUAAAGUUUUGAAUUUGAUUGCCCGAUUGUAUGGAGUCCAAGAGGUCGAGAUAAAUAGUUCGAGUAAAGUAACUAAAGUUUAUACAUAAUCCUCGAUCAAUUUACAUUGUCAAAAUUAAAAAGUUACAAAGGAUCGGGGUGGGGAUGUCAUCCAAUGUGGCCAAGAGGAGGGUCGAGGUUGCUGAUGUCGAUCUCAACGUCGUCCUCAGGACCUUCCUCAUCAUCUCCACCCGAUCCUCCUCCAUCUUCCGAACCCGAGAGCUCCAAUGUAUCAGCAAUGGAAGGCACCAUCUUCAGGUCGUCUGGAGUGACGUCGGGCAACUUCUGCCUGAGGAAGGCCCGGGCUUCCUUCAGGGCAUGGAAGUACGCUCCCGACGCAUACUCCCCUUUUAUCCUGUCGCAGUCCUCGGAGGUUUUAAACUCCUCCCAAGCCCUCUCCCUGACAACCUCGAGCUCGCGCCCGAAAUCCUCUGUCUUCUGGAUGAGCUCGAGCCUCGUGCCCUCGACCUCAUCCUUUGCUGCAACCAAGUCAUCCCUGGCCUUCGCAGCCUCCCUCCUUGCGUCAUCACGCUCCUUCAGUAAAACCUCGACCUGGGCCUCGAGGUCUUGAAUCCUGCUGUCCUUGGAGGCCAGAGACGUCUCGACCCCAGCUGCCCUCUUGGACUCCUCGAGCCCUUGCAGAGAGAGUCCUCGAGCUAUACUCAACAUCUGGAAAAAAUGAAGAAAAUGUCAAGUGUUACGCUCGACCAAUAAACUCGAGGUUAAAGUCAAAAGUUCAAAGAUUACCUUCACUGUAAGACCCUUGAGGACCUUCAUCCCAUCCACGAGCUUGACCUCCUCUUUGUAUUUGUUCACAAGCUCAGGAGCGAGGUGGCAAGUCCCAUAGUCCCCAGUGAGAGACGGCUCAUCCUCGAGGUCAACCACUUCAGAAGGAGGCCGAGGAGUGACGACCCGAGGAGUCGGAGAUCUGAGGUUCGGUUGCAGAGGGGUCGAGACUUCUGGAUGUCCUCGAGAAGUUUCGCCAGGCCCCCUCGCACCCUCAGGACCCCCUCGAGGCCUCUUCUUGCUUUUCUUCCUGGAGGGCUGCCCCUGUGGAGGGGCGCCUCCCCUUGUGUUGACAAAGUUCCGGAGAGCACGAGGAUCAAAAGACAUACCUGCAAAUAUUUACAAACAUUUUAGAACGAGCAUAAGGUCAGGGUAUAUUUCAAAAAAUAACAACAAAGGAACAUCCCUACCCUCGACGCCUCUAAUAUCUGCCAGGUCUAAAACCUCUUCCCCAAUCUCCUUCAUCGUCGAGAAAAGGGGGCUGAGCCCGACCAGCAUCCUCCUAUGCUCUUCCAAAACAUCCGGAUACACCUGGCCCUCACAGAACUUCUCGGCGUCGGGGAUUCCCCAAUCAGGCCAGAAAGGAAGAUCGGGUUCUGGGGCUACCACAUAAAACCACCCCACCCUCCACCCCUUUAAAGAGCUCGCCAUCCUCGGGACUUUAAAGCCCCCAGUCGUCGAGAGAUAGCCAAAACACGUGUAUCGAGGAUGCUUCUUAAGCUCGAACACUAACUUGCUGAGGCUAACAUUGGGCUCGAUACCUAAGUAUCUACAUGCUAUAAAAAAGUAGACGAGCAUCCUCCAGGCGUUGGGCACUAAUUGCCCCGGGCACAUGGAGUGCUCGACUAAUAGGGCAACAAAGAAAGGGUGAAGGGGCCACCUAAAGCCAGCCUUAAGGGUCUCCCUAAAAAUAACAAACUCCCCUCGUCGUGCUCGAAUAAUCCUAUCCUCGGGGUCAGGAAAUCUAACAUCACAAUUAGGCAUUAUACCAUAUUCCCUAGCCGCAGCUAUGACUGAGUGCUCUUUAAGCCUACAGGGUUCGUCGGGAUACUCAAAAACCAUAUUGACCUGGGCCUCGGGAGUAGCCUCUAGGGGAAUGGCCGUCGGUAUUAUCGAGGUCCCUACGUCCUCCUCACUACUACUAGAACUGCUAGAAGAUUCUCGACCCUCACUACUCGACAUUACUUAACAAACUUAAAGACCUAGCUUAUGAAUAACUUAAAGUCUCGAGCCUUACCUGGAGUUCCCGACGACUUGAGAAGUUCCCAAAGUAUUUCUCUCGAGCACGACCUCUCAGAGCUCUGAUUUACAGUGGGUAAAAGUGAAAAAUGAAGGUGAGAACAAUAGUAUUUAUAGGUGAAAACGAUGGGAGGCCAAAGGUCGCUAUCUACGACCGUCCACGGAGACACGUGUCACAAAUCCAAGCCACUCUCUGCAACGGUAAUAUCUCGACCUAUAUCAUCAGCCGUCACUUCUCGAUGAAUGUUCGAGAAAUGACAUAACCCAUGUGCACCCCAUCCUAAGAGCCCGAUCUCUAGGACGAGUGCACGGGGGCCAGUGACUAUGCCAAUAUUGAUAUACCCCGAGGAGUGUAUCCCGAGGACUCGAUCUAUACCCCACCUAAAUUCUCUUCUUCGUUCCUCGAGGUCAUCUAAGUCCUCGAGAUAUUGUAGUCCUCGAGGUAUGUCGAGGACCUAUUUACAUUCCCUCAAUGUCCUCAAGAAUAGUCCUCGAGACAUACACCACCAACAUACCUCCUAAGACCUGGGUACCUAACUAACAAACCUAAACACCCAAGGAUUCUACAUCAACCCUAACACCACUUGUCAAAUAAAUCCAUUUCAAGUAGGACAUUCUUUAUAAUAGAAAUUCCCUUGGAUAAAAACAUCCAACCAACACAAUCCUACUAGGAGUACACUACCUACUCCUAUAAAAGCAGAACCUUGGGCCAUUAUUCAGGUACGUUUUCUCAUUGUUCUUCAGCAUAUAGCCUCACGCAUAUAUUUCCCUUUCUGACUUAAGCAUCGGAGGGGCGACGAGAACACACCUCGUUGCCUUUGUUUCAGGUAUCGGAAGAUCACGUUCGUGCUCAUCAUCAGUCAUCAAGCUCGGAAAAUCUACAGGUACGAUUUUUGGUAGCAUCAGGCAC
rnacentral:lncRNA from 1 species